rnacentral:tRNA from 1 species
GGCCAAAUGGUCUAGUGGUAUGAUUCUUGCUUUGGGUGUAAGAGGUCCCGUGUUCAAUCCACGGUUUGGCCC